rnacentral:rRNA from 1 species
CCCUUAGAUGUUCUGGGCGGCCCGCGCACUACAUUGGCACUCUCAAUAAGUUCCUAGAUCUAAAACUUUGGGGUAUUCUAUUAAGUGGUGUCGUGACUGGGAUUAACCCUUGCAAUUAUUGGUUACGAACGAGGAAUUCCUUGUAAUCGCGGUUUAUCAGCCCGCGUUGAAUGCGUCCCUGCCCUUUGUACACACCGCCCGUUGCUCCUACCGAUGAAUCGUCCGGUGAAGUUCAUGGAGUGGUGGUUGUUCCAGCUGCUGUCGAAGUGAAAUGGACCUCACGAUUUAGAGGAAGGAGAAGUCGUAACA